rnacentral:rRNA from 1 species
AUUGAACGCUGGCGGCAGGCCUAACACAUGCAAGUCGAGCGGUAACAGGAAGUAGCUUGCUACUUCGCUGACGAGCGGCGGACGGGUGAGUAAUGCCUAGGAAAUUGCCCUGAUGUGGGGGAUAACCAUUGGAAACGAUGGCUAAUGCCGCAUAACGCCUACGGGCCAAAGAGGGGGACCUUCGGGCCUCUCGCGCUAAGAUUAGCCCAGGUGGGAUUAGCUAGUUGGUGGGGUAACGGCUCACCAAGGCGACGAUCCCUAGCUGGUCUGAGAGGAUGAUCAGCCACACUGUAACUGAGACACGGUCCAG